CCUACGGGUGGCAGCAGUCGAGAAUUUUUCACAAUGGGCGAAAGCCUGAUGGAGCGACGCCGCGUGGGGGAUGAAGGACUUCGGUUCGUAAACCCCUGUCAUUCGCGAACAAGGUUGUUACGUGAACAACGGAGCAAUUGAUAGUAGUGGAAGAGGAAGAGACGGCUAACUCUGUGCCAGCAGCCGCGGUAAUACAGAGGUCUCGAGCGUUGUUCGGAAUCACUGGGCGUAAAGGGUGCGUAGGUGGCGGGAAAAGUUGGCGGUGAAAUCUCCGGGCUCAACCCGGAAACGGCCGCCAAUACUGUCCUGCUAGAGUGCUUAAGAGGAGACUGGAAUUCUCGGUGUAGCAGUGAAAUGCGUAGAUAUCGAGAGGAACACCGGUGGCGAAAGCGAGUCUCUGGGAAGACACUGACACUGAGGCACGAAAGCCAGGGGAGCAAACGGGAUUAGAUACCCUUGUAGUC
rnacentral:rRNA from 1 species